rnacentral:lncRNA from 1 species
UUUUAAAUUAACCAAGAUAUUGUAGGAACUGGGACGCCUUCGUGAUUCGCUUCUCCGAGUGAAGGGUUUGGGCCUUGUCGCGAGUCUUGCGGAGCGACGCGUUGACGUCUUGCGGGGCUUUACUGCGCACUCGCGGUCAUGGUAAAUUAUGCGUCAUGAAAUGCACGUUGAUGCGACGAGCCCAACGCCGGGGACCUGCAACUCACCCAAGUUCUCUGCGCAGGACCCGCCUCCAUACGAGAGCGUGCUCCAAGACCAUGGGACAAACAAUUUCUUCGCACCAGCAACUGUCAACAAGGAGUUUGAG